rnacentral:misc_RNA from 1 species
AGGCAUCCCGCAGCCAAUAUCUGUCGAGUGGAUCCCACGCGACCUUAUAAGCUUCCAAGGCCGUGCAGAUUCUGCGACCCGUCCAGCGGCCUCUCCAUCGUCACUGCCUCAACUCUUUCACCUAGAUGAUGCCACCCUCCUUUUAACAAGAAAGGAGCACCUCCGGCGCCGCACACGUGCUCUCAUACCUCAGUGUGCGGUAAACCUCCCCUGCGGUCUUACCCGUGCGGAGGAGGUUGCGCUUCGGAGGAUCCGGGUCGGGGUUGCCCUCACUCCUGCCGUGACUAGGAAGUGGCCGCACUUUCGCCCGUUAUAUCCUCGUCCUGAGUGUCCACUCUGCAAGUCGCGAAAUGCUGAAGCCGACAUCCACCACCUGCUGUGGGUGUGCCCUGCACAUGAAACCGACGAGGCUCCGGCACCUCGCAGCAGCGGCACUCUCGCUGCAUAAUCUGAGCGAUUACACUGCUUGGACACAGGGACCGCAUUAUCGAUCCCUCUUGGAUUUCAUUAGAUCCCCUACACAAAGUGCAAGAAAUGGCAGUCCGGGUGUUCAGAAAUUUUGAGCCUGAAUUGCAUGGCCGCUCAUGAAAAGUUCUGUACAUUUCGUCGGUGGAGAGUGCCGGAGAAGCCGGAGGACCAGGUCCAACCGCGGGGUCCCGACAGCUCACCCGGUCGAGCGAUGGCGGAGAGCG